UCUCUAUUAAACUUUUUUAAAUUUGAUUUCUAUGAAUUUCUUAUCAUACUAAGUCUGUAUUUUAUUUUUGGUUCAAAUUAGUCAUUAAUAACUUUUUAUUAGAACUGUACUACUAUUAUCUACUGUUCAAAUUAACAAUUUAUUGCUUAAAAUGAAUUAUGUUUAAACAUUAUCAUACGGCCCUCGUUUGGUGUUUCUUCUCACUGUUUUAAAGAUUC
rnacentral:lncRNA from 1 species